GACCCAGACUCCUACGGGAGGCAGCAGUAGGGAAUUUUCGGCAAUGGGGGGAACCCUGACCGAGCAACGCCGCGUGAACGAAGAAGUUAUUCGUAAUGUAAAGUUCUUUUAUCAGGGAAGAAAGAGGAAUUUGACGGUACCUGAGGAAUAAGCUCCGGCUAACUACGUGCCAGCAGCCGCGGUAAUACGUAGGGAGCGAGCGUUGUCCGGAUUUACUGGGUGUAAAGGGCGUGCAGCCGGAGAGACAAGUCAGAUGUGAAAUCCACGGGCUCAACCCGUGAACUGCAUUUGAAACUGUUUCCCUUGAGUGUCGGAGAGGUAAUCGGAAUUCCUUGUGUAGCGGUGAAAUGCGUAGAUAUAAGGAAGAACACCAGUGGCGAAGGCGGAUUACUGGACGAUAACUGACGGUGAGGCGCGAAAGCGUGGGGAGCAAACAGGAUUAGAUACCCUUGUA
rnacentral:rRNA from 1 species